UACGGAGGGUGCAAGCGUUAUCCGGAUUCACUGGGCUUAAAGGGUGCGUAGGAGGGCAGGUAAGUCAGUGGUGAAAUCUUCGAGCUUAACUCGGAAACUGCCGUUGAUACUAUCUGUCUUGAAUCCCGUGGAGAUGAGCGGAAUAUGUCAUGUAGCGGUGAAAUGCUUAGAUAUGACAUAGAACACCAAUUGCGAAGGCAGCUCGUUACACGAAGAUUGACUCUGAGGCACGAAAGCGUGGGGAUCAAACAGG
rnacentral:rRNA from 1 species